rnacentral:rRNA from 1 species
UACGUAGGGUGCGAGCGUUAAUCGGAAUUACUGGGCGUAAAGCGUGCGUAGACGGCUAUCUAAGUCGGGUGUGAAAGCCCCGGGCUCAACCUGGGAAUUGCAUUCGAGACUGAAUAGCUAGGGUACGGUAGAGGGAAGUGGAAUUUCCGGUGUAGCGGUGAAAUGCGUAGAUAUCGGAAGGAACAUCAGUGGCGAAGGCGGCAUCCUGGACCAACACUGACGCUGAGUGAGCGAAAGCCAGGGGAGCAAACGGG